GCAGUUGGAGGCUGCAAGAUUCUGAACCUCACCAGUUGCUCCUGGGGAUAACACCACUGUUGUAAAACCUGAGACCAGUGUUCGAGAUAUCUUGCAGUUCCCGUGUUUGGGAGCAUCAGCUGACACCACCUGAAUGGUAAUCUGGCUCAACCAAUUCUGUGAUCCCACCAGGAACAGAAUACAGCAAGAAAAACCCACUCUGAACCCCUAUAAUUUCAUCUCCAACCUGACUAAUCAGCACUCUCCACUUCCUGACCCCCUACCCACCAGAUUAUCCUGAAAAAACCCAAUUCCCAAAUCAGGGAGACUGAUUGGAGUAAUAAUAAAACUCUGACCUCCUUACAGCUGGCUGUGUGUGAAUUAAACUCUUUUUCUAUUGCAAUUCCCUUCUUUUUUUUUUUUUUUUUUGAGAUGGAGUCUCCCUCUGUUGCCCAUGCUGGAGUGCAGUGACCCGAUCUCGGCUCACUGCAAACUCUGCCUCCUGGGUUCACGCCAUUCUCCCCCUCAGCCUCUCUAGUAGCUGGGACUACAGGCCCCCGCCACCAUGCCCAGCUAGUUUUGUUUUUGUAUUUUUAGUAGAGACGGGGUUUCACCGUGUUAGCCAGGAUGGUCUCGAUCUCCUGACCUCGUGAUCCUCCCACCUCGUCCUCCCAAAGCGCUGGGAUUGCAGGUGUGAGUCACCGUGCCCGGACUGCAAUUCGCUUCUUAAUAAAUCAGCUCUGUCUAGACAGCUGGGAGGGAGAGUAUGUUGGGCAAUUAAACUUCCUUCCUCCCUCCUUUCUUUCCUUUCUUCCUCCCUCACUCCUUUCCUUUCUCCCUUCCUAUCUUCCUUCUUUCCCUUUUUCCUUUUUCUUUCCUUCUUUCUUUUCUCUUUCUAUUCAUUUAUUUUUCUAAAGAAAAUCGAGUGUCUGCAGAACGAAAAAAAGAUUUCUUGAAAUACUGGCAAUAAGGGUCCUAUCUGCAUGAGAACUACAGGUCACACAAGAGGAAUUCUAAUGAUAAUUUUAGAAUUCGUGGUUAAGUCCUCUGUUACCAGGAAGAAGGUGUUUCAGCCAAAAGGGAAGUUGAUUACUGUUACUCUAGUUCUGAGAAGAUUUAUCUGGAGGUGAAAGAAGAUGAGAGAUACAAUGCAUUCUGAGGCAGGUGUGGGAGUAGGAAUGGAUAUCUAGUAAUAUACAAGCUGGUGCUACCCUAAUAGAGGCAGCUGUAGAAUGAAAUAAUGUUCGAGAGCCAAACAUGUAUAUUCACUCAAAGACCAGCCCAUCAGCACAAAAAAACCACUCUUCUCACCGUGCCACUGUUGCUGGGGAAUGGGGGAUUCAAGACCGUUGUUGAUUCAAGACUGAUCCUCUGACCUCUUCAGUGCCUCUUUCAGUGAUAAAAAGUUAAAACCAGGUACUAUGAAUUUUGGUUUUUAUGAGGUGCAUUUAUAAAGAUAGUUGUUAAAUUGAUGUCCUUUAUGGAGGGAUGAUCUGUAGAGCCUUCUAUUCCCCUAUUCUGUUCCAUCCCAACUGAUCAUCUUUA
rnacentral:lncRNA from 10 species